AACGAACGCUGGCGGCGCGUCUUAAGCAUGCAAGUCGAACGGCAAGAGAGGAGCUUGCUUCUCUCCUAGAGUGGCGGACUGGUGAGGAACACGUGGGUAAUCUACCCUUAAGAUGGGGAUAGCUGCUAGAAAUAGCAGGUAAUACCGAAUACACUCGGCAUAUCACAAGAGGUGUUGAGGAAAGGAAGCUACGGCUUCGCUUGAGGAUGAGCUUGCGUCCCAUUAGCUAGUUGGUGAGGUAAAGGCCCACCAAGGCGACGAUGGGUAUCCGGCCUGAGAGGGUGAACGGACACAUUGGGACUGAGAUACGGCCCAAACUCCUACGGGAGGCAGCAGCUAAGAAUAUUCCGCAAUGGACGGAAGUCUGACGGAGCGACGCCGCGUGGAUGAAGAAGGCUGAACAGUUGUAAAAUCCUUUUGUUGAUGAAGAAUAAGGGUGAGAGGGAAUGCUCAUCUGAUGACGGUAAUCGACGAAUAAGCCCCGGCUAAUUACGUG
rnacentral:rRNA from 1 species